GAUGAACGCUGGCGGCGUGCCUAAUACAUGCAAGUCGAGCGAACAGAUAAGGAGCUUGCUCCUUUGACGUUAGCGGCGGACGGGUGAGUAACACGUGGGUAACCUACCUAUAAGACUGGGAUAACUUCGGGAAACCGGAGCUAAUACCGGAUAACAUUUGGAACCGCAUGGUUCUAAAGUGAUAGAUGGUUUUGCUAUCACUUAUAGAUGGACCCGCGCCGUAUUAGCUAGUUGGUAAGGUAACGGCUUACCAAGGCAACGAUACGUAGCCGACCUGAGAGGGUGAUCGGCCACACUGGAACUGAGACACGGUCCAGACUCCUACGGGAGGCAGCAGUAGGGAAUCUUCCGCAAUGGGCGAAAGCCUGACGGAGCAACGCCGCGUGAGUGAUGAAGGGUUUCGGCUCGUAAAACUCUGUUAUUAGGGAAGAACAAACGUGUAAGUAACUGUGCACGUCUUGACGGUACCUAAUCAGAAAGCCACGGCUAACUACGUG
rnacentral:rRNA from 1 species